AGUUACCAAAUUUCCCAUGAGCCAGUAGAGUACAGGUUUUCAAAAGACUCAUCAGGGGCCUGUCACCGUCUGACGUAAAAGAAUCCGGAAAGACAAGGACUUUAGUUGGAGUCGAUGAUGCUCCUGUUCCCUCUCCUCACAGUACUCUUGGUGCAGCACAGCCAAGCCCGGACCCACUCUCUGAGAUAUUUUCGUUUGGCUGUUUCGGAUCCUGGUCCUGGAGUCCCUGAAUUUCUCUCUGUUGGGUAUGUGGACUCACAUGCUAUCACUACAUAUGACAGCGUCACUCGAAAGAAGGAGCCAAGGGCUCCAUGGAUGGCAGAGAACCUGGCACCUGAUCACUGGGAGAGGUACACUCAGCUGCUGAGGAGCUGGCAGCAGACAUUCACAGUGGAGCUGAAGCAUCUACAGAGACAUUACAACCACUCAGGGCAAAGAGUGCUUCCAGCCAAGCUCCAUCAUCCGAGAGGCCCCCUGUCUCUGCUUUCACCCAUGCUUCCACAGCUUAUAUGUGUUUCAGGGCUUCACACUUACCAGAGAAUGAUUGGUUGUGAGUUGCUGGAAGAUGGUAGCACCACAGGGUUUCUCCAAUACGCAUAUGACGGGCAAGAUUUCAUCAUCUUCAAUAAAGACACCCUCUCCUGGGUGGCUGUAGAUAAUGUGGCUCACAUCACCAAGCGGGCAUGGGAUGCCAAUCUGCAUGAGUUGCAAUACCAAAAGAACUGGCUGGAAGAGGAGUGCAUUGCCUGGCUGAAGAGGUUCUUGGAGUAUGGAAAAGAUACCCUGGAAAGAACAGAGCCUCCCGUGGUAAGAACGAGUCAGAAGGAAAUUUUCCCAGGGACUUCAACUCUCUUCUGCAGAGCUCAUGGCUUCUACCCACCGGACAUUUCCAUGACGUGGAUGAAAAAUGGGGAAGACAUUGCCCAAGAAGUGGAUUACGGAGCCGUGCUUCCCAGUGGGGAUGGAACCUAUCAAAUGUGGGUGUCCGUGGAUCUGGACCCUCAGAGCAAAGACAUUUAUUCUUGUCAUGUGGAGCACUGUGGCCUCCAAAUGGUUCUCCAGGCCCCUCAGGAAUCAGGAAGCAUUCUUCUAGUGGUGAACUCCAUCUCUGGGACCAUAAUCCUCACCAUUGUCCUGGCUGGAGUUGGUGUUCUGACCUGGAGAAGAAGGUUCCGGCGUGAGAGGCAUGACGGACUGUAAGGGUUACUUGUGGUCCUCCUGCUGUGGCUCCCGAGACUUCUGUUUACUGUGUCUGCCACAGCAAAAAGAAGUCAUCCACCAUCCCACACAAGCCAAUGAGUGCAGUUCUCUCUCUUAGGAGCCAUGAUCUCUGCUCUUAGGCAACCCACAUGUCUGUUGUUGGAAGUCUUGACCACGCUCCUGGCACAAUGGGGAUUAGAGAACUGAGCAUUUGUGAUAAGAAGACCCGAGCUACACAUUUUAUUUUGUUCUUUGGUUCCUAAAAUGCUGCCAGUGUUCAGGCUCUUUAUGGCUUCCUUUAUCACAACCGACUUCAAAUACAGUCUGUCUCAUGACCCAAUACUUCCCAACAUCUUAUUUCUCCAUGGUGAUUUGCAAGUAGAUUACGGAGUCUCAGAGCUGCAAGGAACUUUCUCAUCCUAGCAGGAGAUGUCUUCCUAUAGUGCCAUAGACUUGGCAUCCAGCCUUCACUGGGCACCAUGUGAGGGUACCCUAUUCCACCACAAAACAGUCUUUCUUCUUCAUCUUCUCGCGUGAGAAUGUUUACCAUGUAAGAACGUUGACUGUCAUGGCGAUCAUGACUGUGGAUCUAUAAGCAGGGUUGGACCAGCCCAUGAACAUAGCCACCAGCUUUCUACAACAGCCCGUGAAUGGACCAGCCAUUCAACACAUAUUAUGGCCCAAGGGAAAACAGAAGCAGCCUGCUCAUGGCAGCUCUGCCAGAUAGCUUGGAAUAUCAGAAGUGUGUCUAGCCGGGUCUAUGGCGAUGGCUUCACUUUUACUGCUUCUGUGAGAAAUUAGAACAAAAAUUUAUCAAGCUGAAUGUGCUGGGACUCCUUAUUAUAAGCCAGUGCUCAGGAAGCUGAGGCAGGUGGACUGUAUGUUUGGGGCUAGCUGGAGCUACUCAGUGAAACUCUAUUUAAAACAAACCAAAACCAAACAAAACAACAACAACAACAACAAACAA